rnacentral:rRNA from 2 species
AACGAACUCUGGUAUUGAUUGGUGCUUGCAUCAUGAUUUACAUUUGAGUGAGUGGCGAACUGGUGAGUAACACGUGGGAAACCUGCCCAGAAGCGGGGGAUAACACCUGGAAACAGAUGCUAAUACCGCAUAACAACUUGGACCGCAUGGUCCGAGUUUGAAAGAUGGCUUCGGCUAUCACUUUUGGAUGGUCCCGCGGCGUAUUAGCUAGAUGGUGGGGUAACGGCUCACCAUGGCAAUGAUACGUAGCCGACCUGAGAGGGUAAUCGGCCACAUUGGGACUGAGACACGGCCCAAACUCCUACGGGAGGCAGCAGUAGGGAAUCUUCCACAAUGGACGAAAGUCUGAUGGAGCAACGCCGCGUGAGUGAAGAAGGGUUUCGGCUCGUAAAACUCUGUUGUUAAAGAAGAACAUAUCUGAGAGUAACUGUUCAGGUAUUGACGGUAUUUAACCAGAAAGCCACGGCUAACUACGUGCCAGCAGCCGCGGUAAUACGUAGGUGGCAAGCGUUGUCCGGAUUUAUUGGGCGUAAAGCGAGCGCAGGCGGUUUUUUAAGUCUGAUGUGAAAGCCUUCGGCUCAACCGAAGAAGUGCAUCGGAAACUGGGAAACUUGAGUGCAGAAGAGGACAGUGGAACUCCAUGUGUAGCGGUGAAAUGCGUAGAUAUAUGGAAGAACACCAGUGGCGAAGGCGGCUGUCUGGUCUGUAACUGACGCUGAGGCUCGAAAGUAUGGGUAGCAAACAGGAUUAGAUACCCUGGUAGUCCAUACCGUAAACGAUGAAUGCUAAGUGUUGGAGGGUUUCCGCCCUUCAGUGCUGCAGCUAACGCAUUAAGCAUUCCGCCUGGGGAGUACGGCCGCAAGGCUGAAACUCAAAGGAAUUGACGGGGGCCCGCACAAGCGGUGGAGCAUGUGGUUUAAUUCGAAGCUACGCGAAGAACCUUACCAGGUCUUGACAUACUAUGCAAAUCUAAGAGAUUAGACGUUCCCUUCGGGGACAUGGAUACAGGUGGUGCAUGGUUGUCGUCAGCUCGUGUCGUGAGAUGUUGGGUUAAGUCCCGCAACGAGCGCAACCCUUAUUAUCAGUUGCCAGCAUUAAGUUGGGCACUCUGGUGAGACUGCCGGUGACAAACCGGAGGAAGGUGGGGAUGACGUCAAAUCAUCAUGCCCCUUAUGACCUGGGCUACACACGUGCUACAAUGGAUGGUACAACGAGUUGCGAACUCGCGAGAGUAAGCUAAUCUCUUAAAGCCAUUCUCAGUUCGGAUUGUAGGCUGCAACUCGCCUACAUGAAGUCGGAAUCGCUAGUAAUCGCGGAUCAGCAUGCCGCGGUGAAUACGUUCCCGGGCCUUGUACACACCGCCCGUCACACCAUGAGAGUUUGUAACACCCAAAGUCGGUGGGGUAACCUUUUUGGAGCCUUCGGGGACUCGAGGAGUGGAUCU